CCCAGACUCCUACGGGAGGCAGCAGUGGGGAAUAUUGGGCAAUGGGCGCAAGCCUGACCCAGCGACGCCGCGUGAGGGAAGACGGUCUUCGGAUUGUAAACCUCUUUCAGCAGGGAAGACAAAAGGACGGUACCUGCAGAAGAAGCCACGGCUAACUACGUGCCAGCAGCCGCGGUAAUACGUAGGUGGCAAGCGUUAUCCGGAAUUACUGGGUGUAAAGGGUGUGUAGGCGGGGCUGCAAGUCAGAUGUGAAAAUUAUGGGCUCAACCCAUAACCUGCAUUUGAAACUGUAGUCCUUGAGUGAUGGAGAGGCAGGCGGAAUUCCGUGUGUAGCGGUGAAAUGCGUAGAUAUACGGAGGAACACCAGUGGCGAAGGCGGCCUGCUGGACAUUAACUGACGCUGAGGCGCGAAAGCGUGGGGAGCAAACAGGAUUAGAUACCCCAGUA
rnacentral:rRNA from 1 species